GAUGAAGAACGCAGCGAAACGCGAUAAGUAAUGUGAAUUGCAGAAUUCAGUGAAUCAUCGAAUCUUUGAACGCACAUUGCGCCCAUUAGCAUUCUAGUGGGCAUGCCUGUUCGAGCGUCAUUUCAACCCUUAAGCCCUGUUGCUUAGCGUUGGGAGCCUACAGUACUGUAGCUCCCCAAAGUUAGUGGCGGAGUCGGUUUCACACUCUAGACGUAGUAAUUUUUUCUCGUCUGUAGUUGAGCCGGUCCCCUGCCGUAAAACACCCAAUUUAUCAAGGUUGACCUCGGAUCAGGUAGGAAUACCCGCUGAACUUAAGCAUAUCAAUAAGCGGAGGA
rnacentral:misc_RNA from 1 species